rnacentral:rRNA from 1 species
GAUGAACGCUGGCGGCGUGCCUAACACAUGCAAGUCGAACGGAGACACAUUUUUGAAGUUUCGGUAUGGAAGAGAUGUAUCUUAGUGGCGGACGGGUGAGUAACACGUAAACAAUCUGCCUCAAAGAGCGGGAUAACAGAUAGAAAUAUUUGCUAAUACCGCAUAAGACCACAACUUGGCAUCAAGAAGGGGUCAAAGGAGCAAUUCGCUUUGAGAUGAGUUUGCGCACUAUUAGCUAGUUGGUGAGGUAAAGGCCCACCAAGGCAGAGAUGGUUAGCCGACCUGAGAGGGUGAUCGGCCACACUGGAACUGAGACACGGUCCAG